AUACCCAAUAGACCACAGUGCCUGGAAUGGCCUGUGGUUGAAAUGAUUUAUCGCUGUAGGAUGGGACUGCGGCCUAUCAGCUUGUUGGCGAGGUAAUGGCCCACCAAGGCUAUAACAGGUACGGGCUCUGAGAGGAGGGGCCCGGAGAUGGGUACUGAGACACGGACCCAGGCCCUAUGGGGCGCAGCAGGCGAGAAACCUUUGCAAUGUGCGAAAGCACGACAAGGUUAAUCCGAGUGUCUCCUGCUAAAGGAGUCUUUUGUCAGUUGUAGAAUCACUGGUGAAUAAGGGGUGGGCAAGUUCUGGUGUCAGCCGCCGCGGUAAAACCAGCACCUCGAGUGGUCAGGAGGUUUAUUGGGCCUAAAGCAUCCGUAGCCGGUUGCAUAAGUUUUCGGUUAAAUCUAUGCGCUCAACGUAUAGGCCGCCGAAAAUACUGUGCAGCUAGGGAGUGGGAGAGGUACACGGUACUCAAUAGGAAGGGGUAAAAUCCUUUGAUCUAUUGAUGACCACCUGUGGCGAAGGCGGUGUACCAGAACACGUUCGACGGUGAGGGAUGAAAGCUGGGGGAGCAAACCGGAUUAGAUACCCGGGUAGUCCCAGCUGUAAACGAUGCAGACUCGGUGAUGCAUUGGCUUGUGGCCAAUGCAGUGCCGCAGGGAAGCCGUUAGGUCUGCCGCCUGGGAAGUACGUACGCAAGUAUGAAACUUAAAGGAAUUGGCGGGGGAGCACCACAAGGGGUGAAGCCUGC
rnacentral:rRNA from 1 species